UACGUAGGGGGCGAGCGUUGUCCGGAGUUACUGGGCGUAAAGGGCAUGCAGGCGGUCGGACGCGUUUUUGUGUGACAGCGGGUGGCUCAACUACCCGAGCAUGCGAAAGACGGUCGGACUUGAGGACUCGAGAGGGACACGGAAUUCCAGGUGUAGCGGUGAAAUGCGUAGAUAUCUGGAGGAACACCGGUGGCGAAGGCGGCGUUCUGGACUGCAACUGACACUGAGGAACGAAAGCCAGGGGAGCAAACGGG
rnacentral:rRNA from 1 species